rnacentral:lncRNA from 1 species
CUCACUCGGGAAAUUAAGGGAACACUACCCCAACCUACAUGCUCCACUCAGAAAGCUUCAACAUACAAGCUUCAACAAAAGAAAAUUCAAAGAACUUAGCGAAGAAGGCUUUGGUGUAUUUAACACAAAUACGUUGAAAUGAAGGAAAGCUUAUUUAUUGAUAUCCCUGAUAAGCUACAAAUAUGUACAUAUACAUGAGUCAAAAUAAACACACAAGAGGGAGCCUUCACAAAGGUUGCUUAGGAGAAGUCUCAGCAGUCGGUAGAGCCCCAGAAAGAGAAGGCACCGGAAGGGGAUCAUUUGGAGCCUCAGUACUGGACAGAACCCUAGAAGGAGGAGGCAUCAGAGGUUGAUCAUUUGGAGCUUCAUUACGCGGUACAGCCCCCC